CAAUAGCGUAUAUUAAAGUUGUUGCAGUUAAAAAGCUCGUAGUUGGAUUUCUGGUGGGAGCGAUCGGUCUGGCGCUUAGCGCGAGUACUUGCAUCGUCUCCGGCCAUCCUUGGGGAGAGUCUGUCUGGCAUUAGGUUGUCGGGCAGAGGAUCCUCAUCGUUUACUGUGAAAAAAUUAGAGUGUUCAAAGCAGGCUUAUGCCGUUGAAUAUAUUAGCAUGGAAUAAUAAGAUAGGACUUUGGUACUAUUUUGUUGGUUUGCGCACCAAAGUAAUGAUUAGUAGGGACAGUUGGGGGUAUUCGUAUUCCGUUGUCGGAGGUGAAAUUCUUGGAUUUACGGAAGACGAACUACUGCGAAAGCAUUUACCAAGGAUGUUUUCAUUAA
rnacentral:rRNA from 1 species